UCAACGGAAGGAUCCAAGGCCUGCAACACACCAGGCAACUUGAGCCAAUCUCAAAGCCUCCAAUUUCCAUAUGCCAGUUUUGAGGAUUGCAGCAUGGCAGCGCUUGUGUAUUGUCCUCUGGUGACUUUCAUUACAAAAGUGUCUGUACCAUUCAAAAGUCACUGCUCCAACAUAAACAGCUCACCCAAAUACAUAUUACCAGACAACAACAUACCCAUGAUUGCACUCCAUGCCGAUUACAAACAAACAUUUUCAGGUGGAUGUCACAAGUUCUGCACAUCUCAUACAACAGAUUCCCGAGAUUGAUGCUUAACACCCUCUCCGACACCAAAAUCAACUGGAUUGCACUUCAUUCAAGUUGCAAUAGUUACAAAUUGCCUCUUACAAAACUAUGAAGGUUGACUUGCUUGAUAUACAUGACCUUCCUCACCAUGAUAAGCAAAAUAUAUAUUGCCAGUUCCUCUUUCUUGUCAGGCUUUAAAACUCAGCAGGCGUUGUAAUUUAAAACAAGUUGAUCGCAUUGCCUUUAUGUUGUUGCUCAUCAAGAAGUCAAUCCGUCAUCAGCCAUUACACAUCUUGCAGCUUUCAACAGCUUUCAAAUUAUUUGAUUCUUUCAAACCUGCUAUUUUACAUCUCACAGCCCUAUCUUCUCAAAUAUUAACAUGUUCAAGAUGACGACACC